ACUUGAAAUAUAUUUGAAUAACCUCCAGUAUUAAAAGAUUCAUAAGUAUUGCUCAUAAAUUGUUAGAACUCCAUGCCUAGCAGGUAAACACUGGAUUACUCAACAUAGCCGUUAGAUUUCAGAUGUGAAAAUGAAAGUAUGGACUCACGUGUCUAGUUAAGGUUCACGUUUUGUAUGCAUUGAGGGAAAAAUCCUUUUUGUUGAGGAAUAUGUAAACAGAGCAUGUACUUUUUGAUAACUGAUGUUUAUGUUUACUUUCUUUUUGACAUUUAAGUAUAACUGACAUACUGAUGGCUAAGGAAAGAAGACAACUAAGCUGGAAGAAUAAUAAACAGAGCGCUGUGAGAGAUGGAAGAGAAGAAAAACAUGGUGGGAAGAACUGAGGCAGUGAGGCUAAGUUGCAAAUGAGCAGACAAGUAAUAGCUUGGUGUUUCACCACAAUAUCAAAUGAACUUUCAGAACUUUUCAGAAGUCAAAUGCAUUUAAAAUAAUUAACGAGUUUGCUUUAAAAAGCAUAUGCAUCUUCUCUCUUGUCUGUUAAGCCAGAAUGAUACAAGGAGAGAUUGUGAAGAAAAUUAUAUCUACAGGCAUUGUUUUUUUGUUAUUGUUGUUAAAAAUAUUUCCACAUUAAGUGGCAAAAGAAAAAGAAAGAAAAAAAUGUAUUCAUGUUCUUUGAGCCUAACAAUUUCUGUGAAUCUUAAGAUCACUCUUGAGGACCAACUCUACAGAUCAUCAUCAAGAGGUAAAAAAAGAUCACACCUGGAAAGAUCUGAAAAAUUCUGUUUUCUCAUUUAGCAUGCCUCCCUGCUAAACAUACGUGUCAAUCCUUGCAUAGCACCCCGAGCAAUCCAGCUUUACUCAUAGUGUCUGCAUAGACGCCAAUACUGUUUGUGUUCAACACAAACAAAAUCAAAAACUUUAAGUUCACUUGGGGCUGAGAAGGACCUUAAUACCUUUGAAGCUAUUAGUGUGACUGAAAUGGAUGAGACCAAACAGGAUACACAGCUGUCACCAAAACCCACAAACUGAGCACUAUGUAGUGUUGCUGAUAUAAACCUCAUUUACAUGAGAGCUAACACAUGACUCUGAGAGAAGGCACAUGGACCACUGGGUUUGAGGUACGUGAUCAUGUCCUUAUCUUGCACUGCUCAGCAGACUGUAUUUUUGCACCCUGCUUCCAGAGGUUAGCAUAAGCAUGGAAAAUUCUUUUACACAUUUAAUUACACUCUUACAUCUAGAGGCCCUUUGCUCCGUUUAUCAGAGUCCAACUCACUGUCUAUAGAAUUAUUAUCAGACAAAUCCCUGUCUCUUCCUUCUAAGUAAAAGGUUUAAGAGAUUAGAAAGUAGAAGAGAAGCCAUAUACAGCUAAUGGAGGACAAGCCUCCAAAUGUUUGGAGGUUUAUUUCAGAGAUACAUAUCUACAUACUCUUAUUUUUUAACAGAAGAACAGAUACAGAGUCCAAUUUUGACUUGCUUGAACAGAGGACAGGAUAAGAAAGAACACUCUGAGAUAUUACCCUUCUGAAGUCUCUAGCUGAACAGAAGAAAUAAUGUGUUUCCCAGCAAUAAAGAGUAGUUAGGUACUGAAUGUCAAAAUUGUAAUGUUCUGAAGUUCCCGGCAGCUCUACCUGCUUGAACCCCUGCUGAACCUCCCCACGCUACCUCCUUGAGCCCCAGGCAAAGGCCCUGCUACAAUUGAUAUCUGUAGUCCUAAAUCCUUGUCAUACCCAGAAGGUGCUAGCAAUCUGCCAUUAAACUCCAGUAACACUAGGCCAACAUUUUACCCUCGGUUAUGCUCACAGAGCUUCCUUUAGUGCAAUUUGACCAACAUUAAAAAUGGAGAGCAAGAACAUCAUCAGCUAUCAACGCUAUGUUUGCCACACUGCAAGCCUUCUCAGCUAAAGCACCACCAGCCUCACUACUUUUAGUUGUUCCAAACUAGAUUCCAACAGCUAGUGGAGGUAUUGUACUAAUUAAGAUUUCGAGAGUAGAAAGCGAAAUCAUCCUGUCUGACCUCACACUUGGCAUAUUACAGUUCCUUGCUUUCCUACACGAGAUUGUAUUGAUAACAACCAAUUGCCAGUAGGGAUCUGAGGCAGCGAGGUAAAUAAAUAUAUAAAUGCCUCCAUAUGUGUUCUCCACUUCCUUAAGCAAAAAUAAUGAGUCAAAUGAGUGAAAGAUCUGCAGCUCUCUUUUGUAUAUAGUUGCUGUACAUAUACCAACAUGGAAGAAGCCUUCCACAGACUUCUGUCAUCACUCUGUGUGAAAAAGCUCUUUUAAAGGAACAGCUACCAAUAGGCAAGUGAGCCAGAAUACUUUUGUGCAGGAAUGUGCGUUUCUCACAUAGCUCAGGCUACCAAAAGGAAUACAAAUAUUUGCAGGAGUAGAAAAAGAUGCAGAAAGGACAGUGAAUCCUCUCACUGCUGAAACACCCUAAGUAGAAGCAGUGGAGACUCCAAGGAGAAGAAGAGUCUGGAGAAAUCAGCAACUUAAGAGUAACAGUGAAUGAGAAGAAGAGACUGGGAGAGGGAAGAAAAAGGCCUCUGGAUUUCCACCAGAAUUAAACUGGAGAAAUGGGAGCAGGAGGGGCACAGGAGAAGCAGGUUAAAGAGAUUUUGCUCCUAUCUUCGUCAGCAAAGAGGGAGUAGGAAACAAGACCCGGACAGCAUUUCUCCCAAGUCUGCUGCUCUAGGCAACUGUUUACUUUGCUUUUGCCCAAGAUAGCGUGAGACGUUAUAAAAUGAGUUUCCACAAUGCUCUGAGUCACCAGAAUAUGGAUGAGAUCUGUGGAUUCAAGCCACCUUUCAAGAUUAUGAAUCUCUUCUGAAUAUCCAUUAUGCCAAUGAUACAUAACAAAAUCACUGCUGUAAUGUGAUGCACAUGUCAACUUUAAGGAUACAGUCCCUGCUCAGAUGGCAUCAGCAUAGGGAAACGUCAGCAUGGUGGAUUACCAGAGCAAAUGCUUUAACAUGCAAUGUGAUGCAAUGUGUUUUAACAACAAUUGUUCCCUUAUGUUUGUUUGUGUCAGGUUUGACGUGACUAUCCGCCAGGACAAUGCUCAGGAUUCUGUGUGUUGCAUUGCAGAAACUGAUUAUGUGAUCAAAUGCUUAAAGCACAUAAAAUCACGCCCAAGAUUCGAUGAGAUAUAUAUGCCAGAAAAUUCAGUAGGUGCUUAAAGUAAUUGACGCUAACAGCUAGACCUGGGUUUUUCAAAGGAAUAAGCGUUUUUGUUUGUUUGUUUUUCCUAAUGCAAUAUAAUAUAAACUGCCUAGAAAUUCAGCCUUAGCAUAAUGUUCAGAUCAAAUGAAAUUCACCCGUUAAGAAAGAACAUACACAGGGUCCUCCCUGAAGUGGAAAAGACAGCCUCUGAGUAGAACAGAUACCCUGGGAGACUUCUUACCCUGUGCACAUGCCCAAAAAGACAGCUCUGAAUCUAACUGCAUUGUAGAUCUAAUGCUUGUAGGAUUUGGAGGCUCAACGCUGAGCUGUAGCUCUCAGCAGCCCUUUUUCCCCAGUCCGUGAAACUCAGAAUCCAGUGGAGACAAAAACCUCUAUAGAAAUACUGUAUAUGUAAAUGGACUUAGAAGAAAAAGGGAGGGGUACCUGCUCUUAAAUUAGUCAUAUUUAAAAUGUAUUCUCAGAACACACUGAACUAUCAAACAGUCCCCAAAGUGAAGAAAUGUGAUUCUCAUUCAAGACUUAAGAGCAAAAGGCAAAACAACUGUGUCCCUUGCUCCAAAGUCAUUAUCUCACAUUAAGACUUCAUCCUGUUCUCCCAGUUCAGAAUUUAGUCUGGUUCUAAUGGCUCACUAGACAGUUUUGCAAGAUCUUCAUGCUCUCAUAGGUAUUUAGGCACUGAAAUCAGUGAGAAGUGGUACCUGUACACUUUCAGAAAUCUGUCUUUAAUUUCAACAUCCCAUAAAUUUUUUUAACAAAAACAUCCUUCAUCUUUUCUGCUUCACAAGUGAGUUGUGAAGCUUAAUUACACAAUGAUUAUGAAGUCCAGCAAAUACAACAUAUAUUAAGAGUAGUUAAUGAGAUUUCUGUCACAAGCAGACUCCCUCUUGUAAAAUAUUACUCACAUGUUGCAGGAAAAAAAACUCAAGAGAAAAAAAUACAGAUGCAUUAAAUAUAAAACAAAUCUAGCUUGAUUACUUCCACAAAUAAUAUGUUAUACAACUCUAAAACAUCUGUCAGGACAGCAUAGAGAAUAGCAUAGGCUUUUCUGACCAGAAUGGAAUCCUGUCAGCACGGAAUUCUGUCAGCACAUCCAUGUACUCAUUUUUACCUGCAGUGCCCAUCCAAGACAGGGCCUCCAGACCCACACACGAUCUGCUUCCCAUGAGAUCUAGUGGCUUAAAUACCUUCAAAGACCAGACAUGAAGUUCUGUUCCUUCAAAUCACAGAAUCAUGGAAUCAUAAAAUGGCUUGGGUUGGAAGGGACACCCAAGGAUCAUCAAGUUCCAAUCCCUCUGCUGCAGGCAGGGCCACCAACCUGUGGUGGUUGUAAAUAUUUCCCAAAAAGAUGCCAGCAUACUAACCAAUUACCACAUUUAACAGCACAGUGGAAGAUGGCUAGACAACUAUGAGCAGACAGACGAUCGUACAGAAGGCAUUGCUUGCAUACUUAGUGAUUUCUCAGGCCAUAACAAAGCAUACAGCCUAACUAGGGUAGGAGGACUCAAAAGAGGAAGACCAUUCCUUAAUAAUACAGAGCUCUUUGGCACAUUUCUUUUCUGUGAACAAACAGUGUAGCUGUUAAAAUACAUUUCCUGUUAGCAAUUAUGGCUCAGAGCUCACAGACGCUUUUACAGAACUUGGACAGGAGUGAUUUUCAGUACAUAGUGUCUCUAACAGCAAGUUAUAUUAAUAUUCACCAAAGGAAAACCUGUUUGUUGACCCAAAGUGUGACUGCUUACAAUUCUCUUCUUGUGAAAUUAUUUAGGUCCUGUGGGACAACUGUACUGAGCUUUUGACGCAAAUAUUAAAAUUCUAUUUAAAUGUACAAUGUUUUAAUGCAAAUUUUUACCAUAAAACCAAAUGCUCCAUUCAGUUAAAUUAAUAGAAUUACAAAAAGAUGUAAUGAUAGCAAUUAAGUCUUGAAAAUGCAAAUUUUAUAGUCAAGGACAAUUACCUCAUUUAUAGUAUCCUGGAAUGAUGCCAGAUGAAGGUAAUUUAGAUCUCCCUAGCUCACAGUUAUAUCAUGAAGGAUAUCUUAAUUUCAUUAGUACAACAAAGAUGGGUGAGAACUUGGACAAUAUGAAAAAAAAAAGGGAGGGAGAGAUGGGAGAGAAAAUUUGACCUUUCUCAUUUCACCGCAACUAGAAUACAUAGAUCUUACUAAAGGAUUAGUAAUAUUUCUUUCUAUUCCUAUCUCUGGGGAAAAAAAGGGGGGGGGGGGGGGCACUUUUUUCUUUUCUUUUUUUUUAUUAGCAGCAAUGGAACAUUAGUAUGAAAAAGGUCAACUCCCUUCAGAUUCUUAGAGCCACUAUGCCCACAUCACAACAGUUAUGGACCAUUCCUUCUUUCAGUUUUAAGGAUGAAUACAGCAUUGGCUCUUGGCUGACAGAGUAUCAAGCUAUGGCCUAGGGACACAUGGUUUUGACUCCAAUAUGAUUUAAAAUGUUCUUGAAAAAUUCUUCUUGCUCUUACAAAUACAGCCCCACUUCAUCCAAAGAGGCAAGUCAAAAAUCAUCAGUUUCUCAUUAGCAAGCAAAGAGUGAUCAAGUAGACAAAGAAUACAGAUUGAUAUGCCAUAGAUUCAGUAGUCUCCUUUGAAGGAAAAACAAAACCAAACUCUCAUACAAGUUCUUUAGCACAUUAUCAAGUUCAAAUAGGAGUUUGCAAUACUGCAGAUAUCCCUCUUCCUUUCCUUUCUCUUUGCUGUAGUAGCUACCCUUGACCCUUGAAGAGAUUUCAAAAAAAAAGCAUAUUAAAUAAGGUGCACCAUAAAGUUUAAUUUUAAAACUUUACAACUCUCAAUUUUUCUUCCUGGCCUGUUGUAGCCACUGCAAAGAAACUCAACUUCCAGAAAAAUAGCUGCAUCCACCUAAAAUCUUCUUACAUCAAAUUCCCUUACCAAACCUAACAUGUAGGCUCUGGAGAGAGCGGAAACCUCCAAGGACAGAGUAGCAAACUUCACCUCUCUCCUUAUCUUGAACACAACUAACAAAGAUAACAUGAAAAAGCCUUCCCAAGAGUAGAAAUAUCUGCUUACCGUCAGCAUUUGGUGGUUUUGCUGUAGAUGGUGCAUGCUGAAGCCAUCCCAACCUCCUGCUGACAAACCUUUCCUUAACACCCUGAGAUAGGCAGGUUCUAGAGGAUCGGCUUUAUAACUUCGAACAGCACCACAUAGCGACAGGAAUGCAGCAUUAGAAACCCCCAACACUCCUCAGAAAGGGUUUCUUCCAUCCAGUUAUUCUGUUUUAUGAAAAACAAGCCUUUUCUGAAGGAAAAAGUACCUUAAUUUUUCAUGUCAACGAUGCUAUCAGUCACCUCUGCCGCUUGAAAACAAUGGAUGACACUCUGGCUCAAGGAAAGCCACCUGCUUCCUUUGGGGUUAAGACGUCUUUUGGUGAAUUUCAUCUCCUAUCAAGCAAUAGCAAAAUUAGAGCUUGUACCACUAUUGCCUUCGUUCCGUGCUUUUGAUGCUUAUAAUCCCAUUACACCUGACAACUUAACCUGAGCUUGUUAUUCAUAGACAUGUAUGGUCUGAUGAAACAUUCCCAACUCCUGAAAAAUCUUUUUGUGUGUUGUUGGGAGAUUUGGCCUAAUAAGAAGUGCUUGAGUGGGUGUAGACUGGGUAUGUUUGUGCCAUAUUAUACAAUAUGGCUUAAAUUUCCAUGGCAUUUUAUUGGAAAGUGUGAACCUGACAAGCUAAUAGUUUGUGAAUCUGUUGAGUCUCUGCUGUUGCAUGGAGAAACGUUUUGUCUAGGCUAUUCCCAGUAUGCUUCAAUUGUAAAAAAAACAGGCUGCGAUCAUAACACAUCUUCAUGUAAAUCAAAGUAAAUUUCUGCAGGACAAUAUUUACCACUGUUAUGUACCGCAGAUCUCCCAAUUCCUCAUUUGACCUAACAGUCGGAAUGAUCUCAGGCCAGCAAUAAGCUGAAUACUGGUUGCUAAGUAAUAUUUAAUUUAAGCAUGAUGUUGUGGUCAACAAAAUGAAUUAGCAUUUUCUGCAUUAAUGAAGAUCCAGGCCUAAAAUCAAAUGAUGAUGUCAAAAAAUUAUGGAAAAUAUUAUUGAUCUAAUUCUUCCUUUUAUUACACUGACAGAGAAACAUGCUUCUUGGAAAUGUUACAUGUGAAGGAAGAAUUUUUCCUAUUGCAUCUUCUUUCAAGAGAUUCAGUUUUCUACUCAGGACUCCAAGAGAGUAAUUUACAUUUGUGAUCACCCAGCCAAUUCAAGGCAACUGUGGAAAGAAACACUAGUAAGAAUUCAUUUUGUUGAUCUUAUCAUAAAUGUGAGAGAGAUUUAACUUUAUCCUAAAUUCCACUAAAACCUAGAAUGCAAUAAAGAAAUAAUCAUACAUGAA